rnacentral:rRNA from 1 species
GUGAAGCGGUGGCGGGCGGCCGUGGGAAUAUGUAGUGUGCGAGCGUUAAGCGGAUGUACUGGGCGUAAAGCGCGCGUAGGUGGCUAAGUAAGUCAAAUGUGAAAGCCCCGAGGUUAACGUGGGAAUUGCAUUCGAUACUGGUUGGCUAGAGUAUGGGAGAGGAUGGUAGAAUUCCAGGGGUAGCGGUGAAAUGCGUAGAGAUCUGGAGGAAUACCGAUGGCGAAGGCAGCCAUCUGGCCUAAUACUGACACUGAGGUGCGAAAGCAUGGGGAGCAAACAGGAUUAGAUACCCUAGUAGUC